UCCCCCUUAGCUCAGCGGUAGAGCGCUUCACUCGUAUUCUGAACAAAUCUUGUUGAUGAAGAGGUCAGUCGUUCAAAUCGGCUAGGGGGAA